GUACCUGGUUCAUCUCAUUGGGACUGGUUAGGCAGUGGUGUAGCCCAAGGAGGGUGAGCCAAAGCAGGGUGGGGCGUUGCCUCACCUGGAAGUGCAAGGGGCCAGGAAACUGCCUCUCCUAGCCAAGGGAAGCCAUUAGGGACUUCUGCGGCACUCUGGCACAAAUUACAAAGUCAGUGCUAUCCACAGUACCUAAGCUAUAAUUAACACAAAGCUCUAAAAGCUGCAUAGAGUUUAACUGAAAUUGCUGCACAGUCUGAAGGAACGUUCUAGAAACUAAUUUUGGAAGAUGUUCAGUCCUAGGUUAUGAAAAAAUGUUCUGCUAUUUUACAACUCUAGCAGGAACAGCUAAGUCCCCAAUAUUCAGUCUAUUAAUGUCCCCAGUGAGAGUCUUCAAAACUCAUGAGUAACAAUGCAAGAAUUUCCCAGCCUCUAACAUGUGACCCACUUCUAUGUUAUUAACUCUAAUAAACUGACCAACGUUUUUGUCGUCACAGAACUUAUAAUUAUGUGGUUAAAGAUGCUUCAGAUAUACCACAUUCUUUCACACUGUGGCAGAAACUACUGGUUAAAUAACCCAGCUAUAUCUAUUUUCCUUGUCCACCCUUUACAAAAGAGACUGGAAAAAAGCUGGACACUUGCUCCUUUCCCAUCCUCCUUUGCAGGUGAGCAUCACCGUGUGACUCAGUUCUGGCCAAUUAGAUAGGAAGAAAGUCUUCUGGGAUGGAAAAAGAUUUUUUCUUUGUUAAUGAAAAAGAGAAUGCCUCUACAAGAAAAGACCUUUUCCAAUACCACUCUGUUGCCCACUUCCUACCUUGAUGUUGUUUGGAGCUACAGCACCCAUUCCAAGAUAAUGAGGUGACCUUUGGCAUCACAUUCCUAUGAAGUUCCUCCCUCACUGAAUAUGGGCUGGCCUGUGACUUCUGUAACAAUUGAACAUGGCAGAAAAGAUGCUGUGCCUAUUCCAGAAACAUGCCUCAAGAAGGCUUGGCAGUCCUGGCUUUUGCACUUUGGGAUCCCUUAGCCACCAUGUAAGAAGUUCACCUAUCAAGCUGGGAAGACCUUGUAGAGACCACAUAGAGAAAAAGAGGCCUGAGACUACAUGGGAAGGACAGCUUCAGUCAUUUCAUUAUGCCAGCUAUAUUGAGGCUUCCAGCCAUCCCUACCAAGCCACCAGGUAUGUAAUGAGCUAUCUUGGACAGUACCACAUCUGACUUAAACUUCCAGAUGUUUGUAGCCCCAGGCAUUGUCUCAUUGCAAUAGCAAGAGAACACCAAAAGCUAAAGAACCAUCUUGCUGAACCGUCUUACUCACAGAUUUGUGAAAGGUAAAAAUGGUAGUUAUUUCAAUCCACUCACUACUUGCAUAGUUUGUUGUAAAACAAUAGAUAACCAUAACAUAUUAAAAGAAAAUAUGUAUAAGGUUAUCUUUAAGCUUACAGAGCGCCCAUUUGGAAAAAAUCUACAUUUAUUCAUAAUUUUAAAAAAUUCUGAAGCAAAACUUGGGAUUAGGGAGUUAAUUUUCUUAAUCUUAUAAAAGGGAUCUACAAAAUAUCCACAACAAUUACACUUGAUAGCAAAUCCUCAUUUUGAGAUCAAGAUGAUGACAAAAAUGUCCACUAUUACCACUUUUUAAUCAGAAUUAUACUGUAGGUUCCAGUCAGUGCAGUGAGGCAAAGAAAAGAAAAAGAAUAAGGAUUAGAAAGGAAAAACCAGAAAUGUCAUUUUAAAAUGAUAGGACUUUAUAUGUAAGAAAUCCCAAAGAAACUUCAGAUACAUUAUUUUAACUAAGAGAUAAAAUUUGGAUAGAAAAUCAAUGCACAAAAAUCAGUUAUAGUAUUAUAUACUAGAAGCCAGAAAGUAAACAAUUAAAAAGACAGCAUUCAUAAUAGCAUUAAAAAUAUGUAAGAAUAAGUCUAACAAAAGAGUUGCAAGAGUUGAGUAAAAUUAUAAAAUGUUAUUAAUAGAUAUUAAAGAAUACCUAGGUAAAUGAUCAUAGAUUGGGAGCCUCAAUAAUGUAAAUAUAUAAAUUGUCCUCUGUUGCAAUCACAAUGAAAUUCCCCAAUUUUUUUUUUCACCCAACAAGCUGAUUCUAAAAUGUAUAUGGAGUUUCAAAGGAUAAGUAAGAUACAAGAACAACAAGGGGACAUCCUCUACCAGGUAUCAAGAGUGACUAUUAAGUUAGAAUUAACUGGGGUCAGAGAUAGGCCAAAAUACCAGUGGAACAAUGCAAGGUCAGAAACCUGUGUAUAGGUAUUUGCUGUAUGACAGCAGUUACAAGGCAGUUUGGUAGAGAAAGAACAGAGUUUAAUAAAUACUGCCAGGAAAAUUGAAUAUUCAUAAGAAAAAAAUCACAGAUCAAUUUUACACAAUAUACAAAAUUGUUUUCACACAUUUUAUUUCUCAAAAGAUGAGAAAAAAAUUACUUUUCACAUAAUAUACAAAGUAAUCCAAUGAGUUUAAGAUAUUAAUAGAAGAGGAUAAACUAUAGAACUUAGAAAAUACAGAGAAACAUUUUCAUGAGUGAAAGGUAGUAAAGAGUGUCUUAAAACACAAAAAGUGUUGACUCUAAGGAAAAGGUUAUAGAUUUUACUACAUUUUUAAAGUGUUCAUCAGAGAGAUACUGUUAAAAGACUGAAAAGAUGAGCCAUCGCUUGGGAGAAGAUAUUUGAAACCUGUAUAACCAACAAAGGGUCCCUUUCUUGAAGAUAUGAAGAACUCUUCUAAAUCACAAGGACAACACAAUAGAAAAAUGUCUGCAAACGACUCCAGUCUCUUUACAAAAGAGGAAAUUCAAAUGACUAAUAAAUGCUCUACAUGAAAGUGUGCUCAACAUUGCUGUGAAUAUGGAAUACAUAAAUUAAAACAAAAUUAAAUACUCUUACUCAUCUACCAGUUGACAAACCACUUUAAAUUGAAAAUACCAAAUGUUGAGAGAAUGUAAAAUACUGGGAACCCUCAUACACGGCUGGUGUAAAUGGUACUUUUUUUUUUAUUGUCUACUCAAGCUGAAGACAACUUAUCGUCAAUGACUUCAAUUUUGGGGGCAUACUUUAGAAAAACAGGUACACACAUGCCCCAGGAUUAUUGCAGACUGUAAUCAUGCAAAUCUGAGAUACCCAUCCUGCAUAGAAUGAAAAAAUUAUGGCAUAUCCAUACAAUAGUAUGCUAUGCAAUAAUGAAAAUGAACAAGCCACAUAGAUAAGUUUAACAAACACAUAUUGAGUCAAGGAAGCCAGACACAAAAAUAUGAAUCCAUAUACAUAAAAGUUUAAAAAUGAACAUUUUGGGGGAUUCAUUAAUAAGAGGUAAAAUUAAAAAGGAAACAAGGAAAUCACAAUAGUAGUCCCUCCAGAAGAACAGGAGGGGUUUUGAUGGAGAGAGGCUCACAAACUGCUGGCCAUAAUCUUUUGCCAGCUGGAGUUGGUAAUCAUAUUGGGAUUUAUUUUUAUAAUUAUUUCACCUAACUAUAAAAAUGUAUGUAUGUGUACUUUUCUGUGUGUUAUAUUUUAUAGUAAAUGAAGCAAAAAUACUAUAAAAUCAAGGAUAUGUGCACAAAGAUUUAGUUAUAAAUAUUAACUAUAACCAUGUUUAUUACAGGGGGAAACCCCAAACUUUGAGUCACAGCUUUGGAUUAUGUAAAAAGAAUCACCACACACACAGAAGAGAGUUUACUCACCCUCUAGAAAUUAUAUUAUAGAAGAAUAUCCCAUGGCCUCCAAAGACAAUUGAGAUGUAUAUUAAGUGGGAGAUGAUGUUUAUCAUACAUUAUGCACAGAUAUUUCAAUGUUUUAAAAUAAAGUUUGAAUGCUAAUACACAGAAAAAGAUUGGGAGAAACACAUUAUUAUGUUAACUAAGAUUUUAUUUGGGUGGUGACUUUAUGAGCAAUUUUUGUUUUCUUUGUUUUGCUCAUUUGUAUAGUUUUAAUUAUGAGCAAUGAAUAUGGAUUACUUUUGAAGGAAAUAAAAGGAGACAAUAUUCUAUUGGGAAACAAUAAUGAAAAAGGAGCCUAGAGAUCUCAAAAUGGAAAUAAGAAAUGUGGUAUUCGUUAAUAUGUGUAUUUGGAAAACACCUGGAAUCCUACCAGCUCCAAUGAGCCCAUUUGAAUAUAACUUUCCCCUACCAGUGGCCACCCACCUGGUUCCCCUUUCUCAGCAUGCAUAGCUCUGAUAGUGAAAUCAAAUACUGUACUGGCUGUCUGAUUUGGAAGUAAGUAGGGCAGUGGGGUGGGGGAAGGUGACGGGAUCCUCUGAGAACAGCCUGCCCCUAAUUGAAAGGACGUGAAAAUCCUCCACAUGUUGCAGGGAGAGCUGAUAGAUCAUCCCCCAGUUCUCCUCCAUCUGUUCUGCUGCCUCUUAUAGAAACCAAGACAGGAAAAAUAAUAUGUACUUAACACAGGAAAUGAGGGUAGUCAUUUGCAUGAUAUAGUACCAGUACCCCUUAAAAUGUUUUGGGUGGGGUGGGCGGUGAAACAAAAGGCACCAACCAGUGCCCAGAUCUGAUUUCAAACUGGGAAAAUGUAGGUACCUGAAGACACCAAACGAUGGUGAGCAGAGAGGACUCCACCGUCGGCACACACACACAUUCCCUACAGCCAGGUGGAUUCAACCGCUGUAUAUCUGUUACCUCCUCAAAGUGGAAUUUCCCAACUGCUGAGCUGUGGUACAUUGGUUUUCUGCAUGCUAUUGAUCCCCUCAGCCCUAGAGGAAAUGGUCUCACCUCUGGGCCAGCAAUUCUGACAGCAAGCACUUCAUAAAUUUGUAAAUUAUAGGAAUUCACAGAAUAUUUUUAUGGCAAGUAAAGAAAGUAAGAAAACGUUAAGUGGAAAAAAAAUGUUAAUAGCCAUCAGCAUGCAACUACUAUGAUUUUUAUUAUCCUUUUCCAUGUGUGUCAUAACGUAUAAAGAACUGGGAAGCAUUACAACUACCACAGGUCAUCAUCUCAUUAAAUAAAGUCCAAACAAAAGGAAGGGUCAGGGGAUGGGAGUUGGAGAGGGCCUUUUAAGUCAAGGUACUAUUUUUCAAUGGAAGGCCAGUUACUGUUAAUAGAUGUGCUAUAAGCUAAAGAGGGAUCAGAUGAAUUUGGGGAAAACCAAGUUUUCUUAAAAAGGUAUAUGUCAUUUCAGGAAUUCCUAGGGCCUUUAACUGACAAAAAUACAUUGUAACUGUCCAGAAGUAGAAACAGCAUAGAGUUAUUGGGCAAAAGCUUUUUGACAUAGAAUAUCAUCUGAGGAAUAUGUUUUGCAACUUGCUACAGUAAUCUUUUGCCCGUGGCUAAACCCACACUUCACUGAAUGUGUGAUAUAAAAUGGAUUUUGGUCGUCUCCCGCCUGAUGAUAUGAUUGUCCCCACACUGGCUUUUUAAUUUUUUAUUUACAGCAAGUGAUCCGCCUGAUAAAGCUGAAACUCCUAAUGGGCUAAUAAAACUACCCAGGGGCUUUCACCCACUUGGGUCCAAAGCCUUUGCAAAAUGACUUCCCGGAACCCAGGGGCAGUCUGUUGCUGGAGCAGCUAGCACUUUGCCAGGAAAUAGUUCGUCUUUGUUUUCAGUAUAUUUUUCUUUUCUCAGAAGAAAGAAAACAAAUAGUCUCGAGUAAAUGAAUAGAGGAACAUGCAGAAUUCUCUUUAAAAGGGCAUCUCCAUGACUUUGUCAAAUAAAUGAAGAUAUAAUUUAGACGUGUACACUCGCUUUACAUAUAACUGUGAUUCCUUGUUACUCUGCUGAUUUUCUUUGGAAAUAAUGAAUAUAAAUAUUCAGUCAGAGGGAUUUAUGUUGAUGAAAUCCAGUUAAGUUGUAAUAAGAACUAAAUUGAUUAAGAACAUAGGGCUAAGAAUCAUGUAUCUUCUUUACCUCACUUUUUCUAAGCUUCCAGGUAGCCCUUUAUUUGCAGUAAUGGAAACUCCAUCCUUCUGAGCAGAUUCACAUGAAGUCUGCAUGCCAAAAGAAAUAUAAUUUUGCAUUUAUUUUGUUUCUACUUCCACUUGGAAAGUAUCUUUUUUCCCCAAGAAACACAUUUAAAAGGAUAUAAAAGGGGCUUUCUGUUUUUGGCCAGAACCAGAAAAGGAAAGACAAUGGAGAAAAAAUAUUAGCUCAGCUUUUCCAGACUUGAAAUAAUGUGUGAUUUUUGCAGUUUCUCCAACUUUUGAGACCAGGUCUGGUAAAAAGCUUAAUUCUUUCAGCUGGCCAAUCACCUUUCCUGUGUGGAGAUAUUAAUGCCAAGUUAAAAUUUCUCCAUGUGAAUAAGGAAGAAAGCAUUUGGGUACAGCAGAGCUGGGACUAGAUUGAUAAAUAAAAUCCUUCUGUCCCUGCCCCAUUAAUUCUCCCUUUCACCAUUUGGAGGUCCUGUGGGCUGAAGCAGUACAUCAUUUAAAUAGCACCUUCAUGUGUUUCCCUGAGACCUAAUUAAAAUUGAUGUUGUCAUCUGGUGUUUCCUUGUGCAAUUUGUCUAGCUCCAUGCAAAUGGCAAAACAGAGCUCUUCGUUAGGACUUUGUCCUUCUUCAAGAAACUAUCCAAGAUUUUCUUCAGGUGCUCCAGAAAACGAUUUGGCUAAUUGGGGAAAAAAAAAAAAAACCUUGAGAGUCACCAAGUUCACUGAUUUCCUUGGCAAAAUAUCCAAGUGGUCCCUUUGAAUGGAUCUGCUAUGACAGG